GAUGAACGCUGGCGGCGUGCCUAAUACAUGCAAGUCGAGCGAACGGACGAGAAGCUUGCUUCUCUGAUGUUAGCGGUGGACGGGUGAGUAACACGUGGAUAACCUACCUAUAAGACUGGGAUAACUUCGGGAAACCGGAGCUAAUACCGGAUAAUAUUUUGAACCGCAUGGUUCAAAAGUGAAAGACGGUCUUGCUGUCACUUAUAGAUGGAUCCGCGCUGCAUUAGCUAGUUGGUAAGGUAACGGCUUACCAAGGCAACGAUGCAUAGCCGACCUGAGAGGGUGAUCGGCCACACUGGAACUGAGACACGGUCCAGACUCCUACGGGAGGCAGCAGUAGGGAAUCUUCCGCAAUGGGCGAAAGCCUGACGGAGCAACGCCGCGUGAGUGAUGAAGGUCUUCGGAUCGUAGAACUCUGUUAUUAGGGAAGAACAUAUGUGUAAGUAACUGUGCACAUCUUGACGGUACCUAAUCAGAAAGCCACGGCUAACUACGUG
rnacentral:rRNA from 1 species